CUGGGUGUGGCUAAACAGUAAAGCACCUGCUUUGCAGACAGAGUCCUAGGUUCAAACCCCAGCACCAAAA
rnacentral:tRNA from 1 species